rnacentral:tRNA from 2 species
ACCGAGAAGGUCUACGGUUCGAGCCCGUAUAGCCCUA